rnacentral:misc_RNA from 1 species
CAAAAAGUUUAGUUCUAAAUGUACAUACUUGCCAUACUGCUUAUUAACAUGUAAAAAGAGUAAUCAAUAUGUGGUAUCAGAGUGCAGGCAUUAACCAUGUAUUUUUUUUUUUAAAUGAAGCAAUUGCAGGUCUCUGUAGCCAAAAUGGCUACUAAUGAAAACAUUUGUUCCAUAAACUCUUGUUUCUGUUCAUGAGGAUUUGAAAAAAAAAAAAGGUUAGUUGUAAAGGGCUUUGAUUGUGUUGCAUCUUUUUAAACUAAUUUCUGGUGAGCAUAUGUAAUGUUUAAUAACUUAAGAACAUUUGUUUUGUUUUUUGUUUUUUUUGGUCAAAAGAAAACAAUUACUAAAGUAAAAAUAACUUCUCCUCCUGGGUUAUCUGUUAAUUGAAAAAAAAAUAAAUCCAAUGAAUUGAAUAUAUACAUGUCAUUGAUAUAUUUUUUAGAAAAAGAAGAAAAUACUCAUUAUGUCCAUGUACUAUGUUGUAUCUCUUAAUAUAUGAACUGUGAAAAUAUACAUACACAUAUAUGUGCAAAUAACUGUCUUUCGUUUGUUAAACAAGAACAAAAUAACAAAACAAAUUGAAAUUCCCACAUUAUCAUAAUUUUUUUAAAAUCUCUACAUAUUGUCAUUCCUAGCUAUAAUUGUUUUAUAAGAUGAUUGUAGUAAAAUUAUUAAUGCUUUUUUGCAAAAUUGUGAAAAUUAAAUACAAACAUCAAAAUCAGCCAUGGCUUCAUUGCAUGACGAGCUGUGCAAUAUGAUUAAAAUUAAUUGAGCUGCUGGAACAACAGUGGAGUUCAUUUUAUCACGUGUAAUACAACGAGCUACUACAAGGAUAGAGUUAUCAUGACCCACUAUAUAAAUGUCCCUUGGAUAUCAAGUGAAAGAGAAAGUCAUAUACAUUGUGAAUGGUAUUAAAUUACAUGUGUAUAUGUAUUUUGAUAAAGAAUUUCAUACACAUUGUUAAAUAUUUAACACAUGUAUGUUAUGUAUUUUUUGUUUUGGACAGAUAUGUGCCUGAUAAAUGUUGCAUUUCUUAACUUUGUAAAUUGUAAGACUGAACCAUUGCGAGAUGGUUUUUCACGAGUUGAUGAAUCUAACUGCUUCCUGUUUUCUCAGGCUCUUUGUAUAAAGAGCCAUAGAAAAAUGAACGUACAUUCCUUUGAAAUUGGGUGAGAAUGUACAUGUUUUCUUCAAUAACCAUUUAUUGUUUUUUAGUACCAAGUUUUGUUCAAUAAAUACGUGUAUGUGUACUAAACAUAUUUUUGCAGUUGUAAAACAUUGAUGACAAUGAUAUAUAAAUGAAAAAGGUUGUUU